rnacentral:rRNA from 1 species
GUAUCCUGGCUCAGGAUGAACGCUAGCUACAGGCUUAACACAUGCAAGUCGAGGGGCAGCGGGAAGUCAGCUUGCUGACUUUGCCGGCGACCGGCGCACGGGUGAGUAACACGUAUCCAACCUCCCGCAUACUCGGGAAUAGCCUUUCGAAAGAAAGAUUAAUGCCCGAUGGUUUCAAGGGAUUGCAUGGUAUCUUGAAUAAGAUUCAUCGGUAAUGCGAUGGGGAUGCGUUCCAUUAGG